AUAGCGUAUAUUAAAGUUGUUGCAGUUAAAAAGCUCGUAGUUGAACUUCAGACCUGGCUGGAUGGUCUGCCUAACGGUAUGUACUGUCCGGCUGGGCCUUACCUCUUGGUGAGCCGGCAUGCCCUUUAUUGGGUGCGUCGGUGAACCAGGACCUUUACCUUGAGAAAAUUAGAGUGUUCAAAGCAGGCCUAUGCCCGAAUACAUUAGCAUGGAAUAAUAAAAUAGGACGUGCGGUUCUAUUUUGUUGGUUUCUAGAGUCGCCGUAAUGAUUAAUAGGGAUAGUUGGGGGCAUUGGUAUUGAGUCGCUAGAGGUGAAAUUCUUGGAUUGACUCAAGACCAACUAUUG
rnacentral:rRNA from 1 species